rnacentral:pre_miRNA from 1 species
UCCGAAGGUCUGGGUCGAGCCUCCGCUGGUUUUUUACCGCGGUGAUAUUCCAAAUAAAAUGGUUAUCACCGGGUGAAAACUGGUAGAGGUCCGAUCCAGUCGU